GUUGAUUUUGCACUGCUGUGAUAUAGCCUGUAAAACUGUCGGUUUGGACAUCGUUGUUUUCCCGUGUUCUCAUAAUUUAAAUAAAUAUGAUGUUGAGCUCGCAACCCGCUGCGCCUUGGUCAUCUCUACACUACGACAGCCGUGACAGUACGUUCAUCUCUAGGAGACAGAACGCAUCUCCUUCCUGAGCGGUGUGACGGCUGCGUGGUCCCAUGGUGUUUAUACUUGCGUACUAUUGUUUGUAUAGAUGCACGUGGUACCUUCAGGCGUUUGGAAAUUGCUCCCAAGGAUGAACCAGACUUUUGAUUUUCCCAUGAUGUCAAGCAAAGAGGCACUGAGUUUGAAGGCUAAGGAGCAAGUUACUAAGAAGGGGGGUCCCAACCUCAAAUUAGGCCCCCAGGGGGACAAGAAGCCUGGUCAGAUAGUGGGGGAUCCUCGAAAGGACAACACAAUGGACCCAGGCCAGCAUGUAAAGACACAGAGCAGGAUGAAGCUGAUUGCAGACAACUAUGUAGACGACCACUACCACCCUCAUCCUCCUCAUCACACCCAACCCCACCCGGGCCCCCAGGCUCAGCUCCCCCAGCCACAGUAUCAGCACCCUCCCAACCCCCAACAGCAGCAACAGCUGCAACCCUGUCCGUAUAAUCAUAUUCUUUAUGUUCUAUAAGGUCAAACUGGCUCUAGAUCAGCACUAUUCUGAGACGUUUUAUGACAAAAGGCCCAGAACUCAGAACUGAUAUUAUUUUACUCAUUGUAGCUACUAAAGUGGAGCACUUACUGUACUCAUCCAAAACCAUAAUAUCUUACUCAUCAUGAAUUUCAUUGCCAAAUCUAAAGAGAGCACUUUGAGAGGCUGAAAUUAUAGUAAUAUUUUAGUCCAUUUUGUUUUUUAAAAUAACAUGUUCUUGCAGACACUAUUAGACAAAAAGCAGGCUGUACCUCUCAGUUUCCUAUCCUCUCUGUGGUUUGGUGGUCUAAUGGCUAGAGUGUUGCAUUGUGGGUCUACAUCUAUGUUUAGAUUAACUCUAAGGCUGUGUCUCAAAUGGCACCCUACACAGUAGUGAAAUACUUUUGACCAGAGCCCCCUGAGCCCUGGUCAAAAGUUGUGCACUAUAAUGAAUAGGGUGCCAUUUGGGACAAACUUUAACUACUGCAGCUCGUUCCUGAUGUGAGGUGAAAAGACACCCAAUUUCUAUGCUCAGCUUUGUUCUGCAGUCAUGCCUUGAUCAAGCUGAACACUCUUAACCUUUUCAACCAAUACACUGGCAUACAAAGUGGCUCUUUAGUUAACCGAGGCAAUGCAGAUUGGAUUGAUAAGCAACAAGAAGACUUACUAUUUCACUAUGAUAUAUCAGCAUGGAGUAAUGCGAUGGCUAUAGUUACUUCUUACAUGUUCUAUGUUUGAAAACAUUAUUGGCAUUGUUGAAUUAGAUUUUCAUUAUAGCAAGCUGGGACUUAUGGUUUGGUUAGCUAAGCUAGCAAGCCUUUUAGUUAGGUUACCAAGGUAACUACUGUAGCUAUCUAGUAAACUUGUUAGCUACUUCAGUGGAUGUUGAACACAUUUCUAGGGGCAAAUGUGUUAAAUUGUAGCCAUGGUAUAAAGGCCAUGUUUGUUGUUACUGCAUAUCCUUAAACAUCCUGGCAAUAACUGGCUGUUGAGACUGUUCUGUAUUUUUGUAUUUUUUUUGUCUUUCUUACGAAAACAUUAUUGCAGUGUGAGUGCAGUAUGACUGCAGUACGCUACAGUGUAACUGCAGUUACAGUGCAGUAUAAUUGCUG
rnacentral:lncRNA from 1 species